rnacentral:rRNA from 1 species
CCUACGGGAGGCAGCAGUGGGGAAUAUUGGGCAAUGGAGGAAACUCUGACCCAGCGACGCCGCGUGCGGGAUGAAGGCCUUCGGGUUGUAAACCACUUUCAGUAGGGAAGAAGCGAAAGUGACGGUACCUACAGAAGAAGCACCGGCUAACUAUGUGCCAGCAGCCGCGGUAAUACAUAGGGUGCAAGCGUUGUCCGGAAUUAUUGGGCGUAAAGAGCUCGUAGGUGGUUCGUCACGUCGGAUGUGAAAAUCUGGGGCUCAACCCCAGACCUGCAUUCGAUACGGGCGAUCUAGAGUGUGGUAGGGGAGACUGGAAUUCCUGGUGUAGCGGUGGAAUGCGCAGAUAUCAGGAGGAACACCAAUGGCGAAGGCAGGUCUCUGAGCCAUUACUGACACUGAGGAGCGAAAGCGUGGGGAGCGAACAGGAUUAGAUACCCUGGUAGUCCACGCCGUAAACGGUGGGCACUAGUUGUGGGAACCUUCCACGGGUUUCUGCGACGCGAGCUACGACAUAGUACGUCCCGUCCGUCGGGUAGGUACGAGUCGCGAGAAGUAAACGUAACUAAUAGUUAAGUUAGUACGCGUUGAGACGNGCCGACGGACGACGACGAGGGAGGAGG